UGGAAGGACUGCCAUCGACAAGAUGGAGGAAGGUGGGGAUGACGUCAAGUCAUCAUGGCCCUUAUGUCCAGGGCGACACACGUGCUACAAUGGCCGGCACAACGGGAAGCGAGUUCGCGAGGACGAGCGGAUCCCUCAAAGCCGGUCGCAGUUCGGAUUGAAGUCUGCAACUCGACUUCAUGAAGCUGGAAUCGCUAGUAAUCGUGGAUCAGCCAAGCCGCGGUGAAUACGUUCCCGGGCCUU
rnacentral:rRNA from 1 species